rnacentral:rRNA from 1 species
UACAGAGGGUGCAAGCGUUGUUCGGAAUCAUUGGGCGUAAAGGGCGUGUAGGCGGUUUGUUAAGUCAUGUGUGAAAUCCCUCGGCUCAACCGGGGAACGACGCAUGAAACUGGCAAGCUAGAGUACCAAAGAGGGGGGUGGAAUUCCCGGUGUAGCGGUGAAAUGCGUAGAGAUCCGGAAGAACACCGGUGGCGAAGGCGGCCUGCUGGGCAGUAGCUGACACUGAGGCGCGACAGCGUGGGGAGCAAACAGG